rnacentral:rRNA from 1 species
UGUUGUUUUCUCGAAAAUCAAUUAAAAAUGGCUUGAUUUUGUGUUGUAUUGACCUUAAAAGCUUUCUUCACUUUUUUCAUGUCUUUUUUAAUGCACUUUUCGUUUAACAAGCCAACAUCAGUUUCUUUUGUCGUAAAAAGGUCAUUGGAAGGUGGCUUUCUUUUCGGAGAAAGUGUUUAUAGCCUUUGACUUCUGCAAUCGGAGAGACUGAGGUCUGCAGUGUAGAUCCUUCUGGAUUAGAUUCAUUUGUGCUAAGUUACAACCGUUUAUAGACAACUUGUUGACUAUAUUCGAUCCUGUAGCUUACUCGCUUAUGUAAUUUUACCUAC